AUCGUCUAUCUUUAUUUUUCUUUUCUCUUUCUUUUCUUUUCUCUCUCUCUCUCCUCUUCUCUCUUUCUCU
rnacentral:ribozyme from 14 species